UACGAAGGGGGCUAGCGUUGCUCGGAAUCACUGGGCGUAAAGGGCGCGUAGGCGGUUCGUACAGUCAGACGUGAAAUUCCUGGGCUCAACCUGGGGGCUGCGUUUGAUACGUGCAGACUUGAGUUCGGAAGAGGGUCGUGGAAUUCCCAGUGUAGCGGUGAAAUGCGUAGAUAUCUGAAGGAACACCAGUGGCGAAAGCGGCCUCCUGGUCCAGUACCGACGUUCAGGCACGAAAGCGUGGGGAGCAAACAGG
rnacentral:rRNA from 1 species